GGAAACCCAUACUCAUGCUCUCUCUCUUUUUAUUUUUCCAACUUCCCUUUUAGUUUUCUUUAUUUUUCAGCUCAUGCUAAUAAGAAAAAUCAGGCUCUUUCAAAUUCUCAUUAUCUAUUUGACCUACUUUGGGCCUAUAAAUGGGCUAACUCUUAUUAGAUGUGCUACAAUGCAAAUGGCCCAGGCCCAUAUUUGAAAAAUAUGAACCAGUGGCCAGGUCACUAUUCACUACUCUAAAAGCAGAGCUUCCUGACCUGAGAUAAUUGAGGAAAUGGUGCUGUGCUUUCCUUCAACACCCAAGAAAUUGUUGAUGACUGUGGCAUGCUUUGUCUCUGGUGCUGCUCUAUUUGCUGCUGGUGUGCAUCUCUCUUAUGUCAACAUUGCCCCUCAACAAGCUCGAACUAAAGCUCGGAAUGAUUUCGUCAAGGAAAGAUUGAGAAAGAAGUACGGGAAAUGAAGAGUUCAGCACACUGCUCUAAGUACACUUGUCUAAUUUAUCUUUCCCUGUCCUCUCUAUGCUUAUCUUUUGGGUUAGGUUUAAAUUUUUUGUGCUGGCACUUUGAUCACAGUAUUGCUCUAUGAAUUGACCAUGGUUGUAAUGCUGUGAAUGUGAAGCAAUGAUUUUGAUGGCUCUCACCAAACAUGAUGUAUUCUCUUCUUAUGUAAAAAUAAUUCAGUAGUGGAUAUUCUUGUUAGUUGCCUGGGUAGCUAUGUAUAAUGAACAGAGUUCCUUGAGUGACAGUUGUCCUUGUUUGCAAUAAUGAUAUAUUAAAUUUGCAAUAAAAGAUUAGAUAAUUUCUUGUCUCCAAUUAACAACUGAAUACAAUUAGCAGGCUUGGGCCGUUGCUUAUAUUUUUAUCAUUUAGAUUCUGAUUUGAGAUAAAGAGGAAGGAGAUAUUCAUUAAGGAGCUUACAAACCAGCUGAAACUUUGUUGUAUGAUCAAUCUGUUUUACUAGGACUUGAAGAAGAGACCAUCCGUGAAUUAAUGUGGCAAGAUCAUCAGUAUACAGGUGGGUGGAAUUAAAACAACAGAUGGAAUUGCAAAAGGAGAUUGCCUCAAUUUGCCUGGACAAAAUACCCUCUGCCUAAUUAUUGCCUUUUCUACAAGGAAGAGUAAAGCCCUUAGUGUAACUUGGGCCGACUUGGAAUUUGGGCUGGCUAAAGAUACUUCUCUUUGUUAAGUCAAUCACUACAAACUUUUAUAGAUUCAAAUUCUCAUAGUAAUCUUGAUUUUAGGAAAAAAUACAUACCUUGACCAAUGAAAUUAAUUGGUUUUAAACUU